rnacentral:rRNA from 1 species
AAAAUUAAUAAUGUAUUUUAUAUGUAAUGUGAAAUUUCAUCAUAAUUAUGAUGUUAAGUAUAUAAAGAAACUAUUAUGGAUAAAUAGCUGUAUAUCAAGGAAUAGCAAUAUAGGCUAAAGGAGUUUAAAUAUUCUGAUUAACCUAAUUCCAGGAGAAAUCCAAUUUUUAAACGAAGUGAAUUGAAAUAUCUUAGUAACUUCAGGAAUAAAAAUCAAAUGAGAUUCUGUCUUCAUGUAAAAGUGAUGCAGAUGCAGUCUUUAAAGUAAAAUGGAGCAAAUCUGUUUGAACAUAGGGAAACCUUUCUCUAAGACUAAAUAUGAUAUACAAGCGACAGUGAAUAAGUAGCGUAAGGGAAAUUUUUGAAAUAGUAGUUUUAUAAGCAGCUCAAGUUUAGGUUAAACCUUGAAUGAGAGCGUACCUUUUGCAUAAUGGGUCAGCAAGUUAAUAUUAGAUGCGAGAUGAAGGGGUAAAUCCUUUUAGUCCUAGAUAAACCAAUUAUUAAUUAAUGAAUUAGUAUCUGGUAUUAGACCCGAAGCCUAGUGAUCUUACCAUGAUCAGGGUUAUAAAAGCCCGAACAGGUUAUCGUUGUAAAGAUAUCUGAAGAAUUGUGGUAAGUUAGUGAAAGACAAAACUGACUAGGAUAGCUGGUUUUCCGCGAAACCUAUAUAAGUAGGUAGUUUAAAUAAUUUAUAUUUUAAUUUUGCCCUAAGCUUUUGCUCGAAUAAUAAUAACGCUGACAAUAAAAAUUAUUCCAUCGUUGAUGAGAAAGAGAAAGAGAAAGAGAAAGGGAAAAAGAAAAAAUGUAAAAACAUCAUUGCAGGUACAGAAUUGUGAUCUCAGAUAAGUUUACAUAGCGCGAAAGCGGUUGUAAAUUUAUAUAUAUUGGGGGAUCGUGAAGAUUUUAUCAGUGAGUAUUUGCUCUCGGAAGGGCAAUAGAUGAAUAUUAGACUGUCAGACAUAUUACGAUAAGGUUGUAUGUCUAAAGGGAAACAGCCCAGAACAAGAGUUAAAGGUUCCAAAAUUGUUGUUAAGUGAAAUUAAGGUAGUUUUUUUCAUAUACAGCCAGGAAAUAGGCUUAGAAGCGGCCAUUUUUUUAAGACCUCGUAACAGAGCACUGGUUUAAUAAAAAGACAUAUCUAAUAUAUUAGGUAUGGUUAAGUUGAACGCACCGAAAAUUUAACGGAUCUAAACAACAUACCGAAACCUUGUACAUGACAAUAGAUAAUUCUAUACUUUUUAGAGGUAUAGGGACUAUUCCAUGGGGUAGCGGAACAUUGGGUAAAUUUUAAUAAGUUUAUGUCUUCGAUAUGAAUUAAGCGGUUAUAAGCAUACGUGCAGCCGCGAAAAUAUCCCAAGUGAGAAUGCUGACAUGAGUAACGAUAAAGGGAUUACCCCUCGCCUUAAGCUUAUGGUAUUUAAUGAAGUAACGGCCCCUAAAUUUAUUGAUCUGACCUAAAGGAUUAAAUGAUGGGUAAAUCUUUAAAUGUACAUUUAAACAACGUUUAAUUGCAAAAAAUAAAAAAGUUCUAAUCCUGAAAAUUUAGUAUAUUUUAUUCGUAAAAUAUGUUAAAGGUUAACUUAGAAUGUAAAUAAACAAUGAGCAGUUAAUCUAAUGAACGUUCUGGAAAAAUAAAUGUACGAAAUUCUUAACAGGACACUGGUCACUCCACGUGUAAACCGUACCUAAAUACUACCACAAGUAAGCAAGUAGAGAAUACAAAGGCGUUUGAGAUAACAAUCAUUAAGGAACUCGGCAAAUUGACACCGUAACUUAGGGAUAAGGUGUGCCAUUACAUAGCAUUAAACUUGCAACUAUCUAAUUACGCCCCGCUAAAACUUUUGUAAGCGUGCCUAUACUGGUGACGACGCGUAGGUACGUCGGUAGUUGCUUAGGCAGGAUGGCAACCCGCUGUGGGUUUAUUAGCUAUUUGUAAGAGGAGACAUAAAAUGGUGUUGUACGACUGUUUAAUUAAAACAAAGCACUUUGCAUAAGAUGUAAAAUCAAAGUAUUGAGUGUGAUUUCUGCCCGAUGUUGGCUGGUUAACGGAUUUUCUUAGUUGAAUAAAUAUAGGCUAGGUUUUGAAGGAAACCCCAAUCAAUGGCGGCCUUACCGAUGAGGGUCCUAAGGUAGCGGAAUACCCUGGCCGUUAAAUGCGGUCUUGCAUGAAUGAUUUAACGAUACAACAGCUGUCUCAAUGAUUGUCUCAGUGAAAUUGGAAUAACUGUGCAGAUACAGUUUUCUUCUAGUUAGACGAGAAGACCCUAUGCAGCUUUACUGUUGCUAGUAAUUGGAUAUGAUGUAACGAAUUGUAGUGUAUAAGGUAGUUGACAAGAUAUAAUUGAAACACCUUUAUUAUGUUUAUCAUAUCAGUUGCGUACUAGACUACUUUUUUGAGUAUGAUCACAAUUGCAUACCUGACAAUUAUAAGUUUCGCCUACGAGUAGUAAAAACGACUAGGAAAAAGGGUUUUUUUGUCAGAUUAAGUAAAGUAAUUAAAUAUUACCUAGUAUAGCUAAGCUUAUCCGAAAGAAAAUUACAUUGUCUAGAAAUAAGAUACGUUAUUAUAAACCAUAGUCUACCAAACUAUGCUUUAUUUUAUCACGUCUAGUUCUAGAUAUUAUGUGAAGGAAACAGUUGCUAGUGGAUAGUUUAUGCGGGGCACAGAUCCCAUAAAAAGUACCUGGGUGUAUCCAAAGUUAAAAUUGUAAAUUCAUCUACUUAAGUUAAUGAUAUGCGCUAUUAUUGUACUUUAUGUAUUAAUAUAGGCAAUUACUAUUUUACUAUGCUAUAGAUUAUUAUUUAAUCUAUUCAGUUAUAAUUCUAUUAGGUUAGAAUAAUUAUAUUUUUUAAGUAAGGUUUUAACUAUAUGGAAAAUAGAUGUUAAUAAAACAUUAGUCUUAUUGUUUUUACUUGUCUACAACUUGGCAAAUGUCAAGUUUAAAGAUGAUUUUUAAUAUUACUGUUAAAGUUUAAUGGCUUAACCUUGCUUUACUGUUUGACUUACACGUCUAUCAGUCACGUAAGUGGGGCAUACGAUCACAAGAUGCAGAAAGGAAAGGUCUUGGAUUAUUGAAAAAAGCUACGCUAGGGAUAACAGGCUAAUUGCGCCAGAGAGUACAAAUUGAGUGCGCAGUUUGGCACCUCGAUGUCGGCUUAGCUCAUCCACAUGAAUGCAGGAAUCAUGAAGGGUACGACUGUUCGUCGGUUAAAGAGCUACACGAGCUGGGUUAAAUACGUCGUGAGACAGUAUGGUUUCUAUCUUCUAGAAGUAAUUAGAGUAAAACAAGAAUAGCCCCUUCGUACGAAAGGAGUUGGGUAUGUUAACCUCUGGUUUAUUUGUUGUUUAUGGGCGACGAUAUGUUAAGGGGCAUGAGUGGUUGUGCCUACUUCUCAUAUAGGAUAUUGCAUAAUUAGAUGCACAUAUGUACCAUAGGCACGGCAAUAAAGCUACGUUAGCUAUAAAUAAAUGCUGAAUGCAUAUAGGCAUAAAGUUUAUCUUGAUAUACUCUUAAAUAUACGUAAUACACUAUUACGAAUUAUUAGUUAAUAACAAUUAACUUGUAAUUGUAUAGGCUUUGGUUGUAAGGAUUUUGAUGUCUUAAGAUACAAAGUA